ACUUGGCAAAAGAAGGCUGCUGGGCAAGAAAAGUAUCGGAGUCCUCUCCUGUCCAACAGCCGAUUUGUCAACCGCAAAGAGCUAUGUCAUAGAGUUCUUCACCCUUGAUCCUCUAGCAAAUACUUUAUUGCAGGUAACGUAAAUGUGCGUGAAAAAGCGCAUGAUGUAAUUCACAGUACUAGAACCGCCCAGUGACGGUGACCAGUGUCUAUAAAGCAUUCAUCAUCACUAUUUGAACUUUACAAGUGAAUGACUACAAUGGCUACUGGAAGUACGUCAAAGUUCAGACACAUAUUUGAGAAAGAUGAGGACGACAUCAUAUUAACUUAAUCAAUAAAUGCCAUAAACGAAUGGCCAAGUACCAGAAGGAGCAAGAAAAGGAUCGAUUGGCUCUAUAUAAGCUUCUGCUGCGGGUUUCAAAAAAGGUUCGGAGGAUGGAUCAGUGGAACCGUAAAAUAAUA